CCUUGGGAGAAGGGUCGGCGCUCGGGUGCGUCCUGGACGCCGCGGGAGAGUGUCCCACCUCGCGGUCAGCCGACCGUUACCCGGAGAGAGCUGUCACGCUAAGCUGUCCGCCCUGCGGGUUCAAAGUCCUUUCCUGUCAAACCUGCGCUAAAGCCAGAAGGAGGUUUGCGUCAGAACAGUGUAAACAAAUUAAGUUAGCUGCUUAGAGAAAUGUGACCUUUGAGACUGUCAGGCGGCUUGUUGCCCACACGUGGGCAUGUGGAGCGUGGCCCUGGAAAUCAGGGUGAAAGAUGAGUGUUCAAAGCUCCCCGCUCCCGCAGCGCGUGUUGGACGCGGACGCGUUUCUGAAGAGUUCCCCUUAGACCCCGUGUCCCAGACGGUGUUUGGGGCGCUAGAAAGCUGUUGGAUCCUAACGCUGUCCAGGUAUAGAAGCGUGAAUACUUCAGACUAAAGGGAACUGGCAAGGAUACUUCAUAUAUCAUAUUGUGCAAUUCAUCACGUUUAACAUCAGGCCUACGGGUUUUGCUCUGUAUCAGUCAGGAUUUUACUAGAGAAACAGAUAUAACACAAGGUGUACAAAUGUAUAAGAAAUUACAAGACUGGCUUAUGACAGUCAGCCACAGAGCUGGAUGAGGAAGCAUGCAGAGCGUCUGUGCACCCUGGAGACCGAAGGAUUCAGUCCAGGGUCUGGAGUUCACUGCAGUGUUCUGUGCAAGUCCGUAUCAGGAGGCUGAUGAGCCUGCGACCAAAACCUGAUGAGUCUACACCAGAAGGCUAAAGGAUCCAAGGUGGAAGCUGGAGAGUCUACACUAGAAGCCAGGAGACGACGUCCAAACUGAAGAGGAUUCUGUUCAUGGUCAGCUGUCUGCAAGGCAGAAAUAUCAUGUGCACCUAAAUAUGAAAGAUAAAAUCAUUGAAGAGCAAAGAUGCUGGAUUCUUGAUAUUCACAAAGUACACCAAGGGAAGAAUGCUAAAGAAGAAGUAAAGAGAGACUAGAUAUGGACUCCAAAUUCACAUCUGUAUGACACACCUGGAUGUACCCAAAAGUGUGCUUUAGUAAUUCCCCGGGUGGUUCUCAAAUCAGUCAAGUUGACAGUAAAUCUUAAUCCUUGAAGAGGAUUGUGUUGGACUUCUAUGAAACAGGAAGACUGUGUUGGACUUCUAUGAAACGGAAAGGAAAACUUUGCUUUGAUAUUUUAAGCCAUUAAGUUUGUACUGAUUUGUCAUACAAUCAGAAGAAAACUAAUACAAUAACAUUAAAUAAAUAAAAACCAUCAUGAUGUGU